UUCCAAAGAGUUUCAUGUGCUGCACAGAGGACAUCUCCCUUUGUUGCUCAGAUGGCCCCAUGUCUGUGCAAGACACACGCGAGCACACUGGCCCCGAAUUUUCACUUUGUUCUUUGUGCCCAUGCUCUGUAUUUCCCCAUCUGAGCUUUCCUCCUUCAACAGAUCCCUUCUUUUCUCAAUGUUCAUAGCCUGCUCAGCACUACAGUUUUCCAACCCAUUCCAAGCAGUGCCCAGCAUGAGCCCUGCACCAGCUUCAGGGUCCCACCCAUAACCUUCCCUCCUCUCGAGGCCGUUGUGCAGCUGCAGUAUGACACCCGCCUUCAUGACCAUGAGCAGCUGCAGGCUGAUGCUUUGAUUGGGAAAAAACUGCAGUUUUCAGCAGAAACAGAACUGGGAACUGUUGUCAGGCAAGCAGGGAAGGCUUGGAGCUCUGCACUGCGGCUGCGCGGAGCCGGCCCCACUGGAGCUGCUGCUGCCACUGCUUUUAUCCGCCUGUUGCCAAGCAACCUUAAGGCUUUUUUCAAGACAUUUCAAGAAGUAAAGGAACACCUCUCCCUGCUUCCAUCCAAGAGCAAGCUUAGGGCUCUUGUGUUUUGGUGGAAAGCCCACAAACAGGCUCAGUCUGGGAGCUGUCAUUGCCUGGAGCUGGGGAUACCUCGGGACAACAGGGAAGACAGCAAGCACUGCUGGGUUUGUCCCCAAAUAGGGCAGUUCCCUGUUCAGGAUGUGCUACCAAGUCACCAGAUCCUGCCUCCUGGUCCUCUUUGCUCCCUGGGCUGUGCCUGGAAUUUCUGUUCCGUUGGGGUGUUGGAAGCUCAGCUGGUGGCACCUCAGUUCUCAGCAGUGCUGUAUUUUAUUGGGGAAAAAAAUCAUCACAACAGAGCUCGGUGAAGUUAAAAAAAAAACAAAGAUUCACAUCUUUGGUAACCACCUUUGUAAGUAUUUACCCUGCAAACCCAUGGGAUGGGCCACUGAUGGCAUAUCCUGAAGCAGCAAUCACAACCUGACCAGAAAUGGGCUUAUCCCUUGUGUCCAUCAGCAUGGGGCUCCAUGGCCAGCUUAGCCAAGGUG
rnacentral:lncRNA from 1 species